UACGGGGGGGGCAAGCGUUGUUCGGAAUUACUGGGCGUAAAGGGCGCGUAGGCGGUUUGUUAAGUUGGAUGUGAAAACUCUGGGCUUAACCCAGAGCCUGCAUCCAAAACUGGCAGGCUAGAGUUUUGGAGGGGGAAGCGGAAUUCCUGGUGUAGCAGUGAAAUGCGUAGAUAUCAGGAGGAACACCGGUGGCGAAGGCGGCUUCCUGGCCUGUUCUUGACGCUGAGGCGCGAAAGCUAGGGGAGCGAAUGGG
rnacentral:rRNA from 1 species